AGAGUUUGAUCCUGGCUCAGGAUGAACGCUAGCGGCAGGCCUAACACAUGCAAGUCGAGGGGUAAUCCCGCUUUCGGGCGGGAACGACCGGCGCACGGGUGAGUAACGCGUAUGCAACCUACCUUUAACUGGGGGAUAGCCCGAAGAAAUUCGGAUUAAUACCCCAUAUAACUAUAGAUAAGCAUUUAUUUAUAUUAAAAACUCCGGUGGUUAAAGAUGGGCAUGCGUAACAUUAGUUAGUUGGUGAGGUAACGGCUCACCAAGACUACGAUGUUUAGGGGGCCUGAGAGGGUGGUCCCCCACACUGGUACUGAGACACGGACCAGACUCCUACGGGAGGCAGCAGUGAGGAAUAUUGCGCAAUGGAGGCAACUCUGACGCAGCCAUGCCGCGUGCAGGAUGACGGCCCUACGGGUUGUAAACUGCUUUUAUACAGGAAGGACUUUCCGCACGUGUGCGGGAUUGACGGUACUGUACGAAUAAGCACCGGCUAACUCCGUGCCAGCAGCCGCGGUAAUACGGAGGGUGCAAGCGUUAUCCGGAUUUAUUGGGUUUAAAGGGUGCCUAGGCGGGAUAAUAAGUCAGUGGUGAAAUACUGCAGCUCAACUGUAGAACUGCCAUUGAUACUGUUAUUCUUGAGUUCGAUUGAGGUAGGCGGAAUGUGUAAUGUAGCGGUGAAAUGCUUAGAUAUUACACAGAACACCGAUUGCGUAGGCAGCUUACUAAGUCGACACUGACGCUGAGGCACGAAAGCGUGGGGAGCGAACAGGAUUAGAUACCCUGGUAGUCCACGCUGUAAACUAUGAUCACUAGCUGUUGGCGAUACAUCGAUCAGCGGCAAAGCGAAAGCAUUAAGUGAUCCACCUGGGGAGUACGGUCGCAAGAUUGAAACUCAAAGGAAUUGACGGGGGCCCGCACAAGCGGUGGAACAUGUGGUUUAAUUCGAUGAUACGCGAGGAACCUUACCUGGGCUUAAAUGCAGAUUGACGUUUCGGGAAACCGGAAUUCUCUUCGGAGCGAUUUGCAAGGUGCUGCAUGGUUGUCGUCAGCUCGUGCCGUGAGGUGUCGGGUUAAGUCCCAUAACGAGCGCAACCCCUAUCGUUAGUUGCCAGCGGAUCAUGCCGGGGACUCUAACGAAACUGCCGGUGUAAACCGAGAGGAAGGUGGGGAUGACGUCAAAUCAGCACGGCCCUUAUGUCCAGGGCUACACACGUGUUACAAUGGUCGGUACAGAGGGCAGCUACCUGGCGACAGGAUGCUAAUCUCGAAAGCCGGUCUUAGUUCGGAUCGAAGUCUGCAACUCGACUUCGUGAAGCUGGAAUCGCUAGUAAUCGCGCAC
rnacentral:rRNA from 1 species